CCUACGGGUGACAGCAGUAGGGAAUCUUCCACAAUGGGCGAAAGCCUGAUGGAGCAACGCCGCGUGGGUGAAGAAGGUCUUCGGAUCGUAAAACCCUGUUGUUAGAGAAGAAAGUGCGUGAGAGUAACUGUUCACGUUUCGACGGUAUCUAACCAGAAAGCCACGGCUAACUACGUGCCAACAGCCGCGGUAAUACGUAGGUGGCAAGCGUUAUCCGGAUUUAUUGGGCGUAAAGGGAACGCAGGCGGUCUUUUAAGUCUGAUGGGAAAGCCUUCGGCUUAACCGGAGUAGUGCAUUGGAAACUGGGAGACUUGAGUGCAGAAGAGGAGAGUGGAACUCCAUGUGUAGCGGUGAAAUGCGUAGAUAUAUGGAAGAACACCAGUGGCGAAAGCGGCUCUCUGGUCUGUAACUGACGCUGAGGUUCGAAAGCGUGGGUAGCAAACAGGAUUAGAUACCCGAGUAGUC
rnacentral:rRNA from 1 species